UCUUCCCCACAGAAGCCUGGAUUCUAAGAGUGUCUUUUCCGUACUGGCCUAGUGAGAUCCUCCCAGAUGUGACAUGUUCUUGUUUGCUGCUUCACUUGGGGAGGUAAGAUGGAUAUAGCAUUUCCUGUAUCUCAGCAUGGAAUGAAGACAGCAUAGUGGAAGCUGAAAGGGAAAUGGAAGCUGCCAGAUGUAAUGGGCCGAUUAACCUGCAACAUUCAAUGUGGGAUUUAUGCAUAAGCAGAAAAAAAGGGGUUUAUGUGAACUUUGUGACUUGGCCAGAGGCCCAAGUGAUCGAAGACCCAGGAAGGUUGGUCAGCAGCCCGCAGAGGGUGCUGGGGCAAGAAAGACUGCAGUACCACACCCAGCUGCUAGGAGGUGUACAAGAGGUGAGUGCCCUUAUUACAUGGAUAAUUACAGCAUCCCUGUGAUGUCUGUUUACCCUUUUCUUACUGAUAUGUACUUUCAACCUUAACUUCAUGUUAAUAGUUUCUUUUCUUUUCUUUUCUUUUUUUUUGGUCUUGGAAUUUCCUUUCUUUUUAAAGUAACUUCAUAUUUGAACACUAAACAAGAAACACACAGUGGAUGCUACCAAACAUCAUUUCUAAUGAUUUGAAGCUAUGUAAUAUCAACUGUGAGUCAUUAAAAAACCUUUCAAGGGUAUAUUCAAAGUGCAAAGAUGUAAAGUGUCCAGUGUAUACUAGGCAGUUAAUCUGGGUUUUCAGAUGCUUUGUGUUGCCAGAACAGUGGAAAACUUCCAAAGUAUUCUGGUGAA